rnacentral:rRNA from 1 species
GACGAACGCUGGCGGCGUGCCUAAUACAUGCAAGUCGAACGAAGCUGUUUUAACUGGUGCUUGCACCGACUUAAACAACUGAGUGGCGAACGGGUGAGUAACACGUGGGUAACCUGCCCCAAAGCGGGGGAUAACAUUUGGAAACAGAUGCUAAUACCGCAUAACCACAGAAACCACAUGGUUUCUGUGUCAAAGAUGGUUUCGGCUAUCACUUUGGGAUGGACCCGCGGCGUAUUAGCUAGUUGGUAAGGUAAUGGCUUACCAAGGCAAUGAUACGUAGCCGAACUGAGAGGUUGAUCGGCCACAUUGGGACUGAGACACGGCCCAAACUCCUACGGGAGGCAGCAGUAGGGAAUCUUCCACAAUGGACGAAAGUCUGAUGGAGCAACGCCGCGUGAGUGAAGAAGGUUUUCGGAUCGUAAAACUCUGUUGUCAGAGAAGAACGUGUGCGAGAGUAACUGUUCGUGCAGUGACGGUAUCUGGCCAGAAAGCCACGGCUAACUACGUGCCAGCCGCCGCCGCCG